rnacentral:misc_RNA from 1 species
GGAAAGAGAAAAUGGGGAGAACAAUAAUUCUUGCUAAACCAAACACAUCAUCAUCUAAGAAACAACAACCAGAGCUUGGUUUCCUCAAAUCCAUCAUCCUCUUCUUACUGUCUUCCCUUAGUUUUGGGUUGUUUUCAGAUUUGAAAAUCACUCACCCAAACUCUCAAAAAUUCAAUCUUUUUUUUCCCUACUAUCCAGCUUUAUUUUCUUGUUCACCACCAAAA